UUCNCAGUCAUUAGAGUGUCCCUUAUAAGA
rnacentral:piRNA from 1 species